GGACUUGGGCAGACAGCAUGAGAGGCAGAGUCUUUGCUUACCUGGAGGUUGCCUUCUAAUGUACUGGGCUCCUGGGAGUGCAUGAAGGCUUCUUAGAUGAAGAGUAAUGGGGAUGUCUUACACAGCAAGAUGAGAAAACACAGACCACUUGGCUCUCUAGCGAGGACCAGAAUUUGAGUCAAAAUUAUAUGAAAGCAACAGCCCACAAUUGCCUGCAUUUUCUUUCCUCUUCAAAACCACUUCUGCUCCAAAGACCAUGAACCUGAACUGAAGAAACGACUCCUUCCUGCUGGUGUGAGAUAAUUCAGUCUCCAUGAUGUCUUAAUCCUGGGCCUCCCUUAAUUGACUUCUAACUGUGCUGAACUGUGGCUGCUAGGAGUUGCAAUGUGGAUCGCAAUUUACAAGGCACUGGAAUCGUUUCUUGUCUUCAAAUUAGUCCUGAGCUGUACUGGAGAAAGAAAAAAAAGGGGCCUUUACCCUUCUUGCUGUCUUGUCACCACAAGUGAGACUUUCUUACAGUCUCAGAAUGGAUGGUUGCCUUUUAACAAUUUAGUUAGGGACAGAAAGGAAAAAGAGUUAGGGUUGCCAAUACUUCGUCAAUUUUGUCUUAAUAAAGUUGCCUCACAUGGC
rnacentral:lncRNA from 1 species